AAAAGAAGAAGAAAAGGGCGUGGUUUUUGACACGCGGGAAUUGGCGGUUUUGAUAGUUGUGAAAUGUUUUUCUGUCGUCGGUGUCUUUCCUGAGCUAAAAAACUAUUUUAAUGUUUGUUAUCUUUGCUGUUGAAAGUAGGCUCUCCACACAGUGGUCAGACGUAUUGUUUUAGAUAGAUUGAGAGUGGCCAGAUUCCCCGGAAAAGGGGCAGUUUGUCAUGGAGUCUUUUCAGAAAGUGGAGAAGAUAGGAGAGGGAACAUACGGGGUGGUUUACAAAGCAAAGAAUAAAAUCACCGGUGAGACUGUGGCACUCAAGAAAAUCAGAUUAGACACGGAGACUGAAGGUGUUCCCAGCACUGCCAUUCGUGAGAUCUCUCUACUGAAAGAGCUUAAUCACCCAAACAUCGUCAAGCUGCGAGAUGUAAUACACACAGAGAAUAAGCUUUACUUGGUCUUUGAAUUUCUUCACCAAGACCUGAAGAGGUUUAUGGACGCCUCCUCCGUCACUGGCAUAUCCCUGCCACUCGUGAAGAGUUACCUUUUCCAGCUGCUGCAGGGAUUGGCAUUCUGUCACUCUCAUCGUGUUCUUCACAGAGAUCUUAAACCACAGAAUCUGCUGAUCAACGCACAAGGCGAGAUCAAACUAGCUGACUUUGGGCUGGCCAGAGCAUUCGGUGUUCCUGUGCGCACCUAUACACAUGAGGUUGUAACGUUGUGGUACAGAGCUCCAGAGAUUCUGCUGGGAUGUAAAUAUUAUUCCACAGCUGUUGACAUCUGGAGUUUGGGCUGCAUCUUUGCUGAAAUGAUUACUCGAAGGGCAUUGUUUCCUGGAGACUCGGAAAUAGACCAGCUCUUCCGAAUAUUCCGAACACUGGGGACUCCGGAUGAGUCUGUUUGGCCAGGUGUUACCUCAAUGCCAGACUACAAACCCUCCUUCCCUAAAUGGGCUCGGCAAGACCUGUCCAAAGUGGUGCUGCCCCUGGAUGAGGAUGGCAGAGACCUUCUUGGGUCACCACCAGCUUCAUCUACUGGCAGAAUUUAACAGGAGUUUGUAAAGCUCCAGAUUCUCAUGGAUGAAGUGCCAUGCAAAAAGAAUGAUGCAUUUUUUAUUGGACCGCUAUCAGCAAAUGCUGAACUAUGAUCCCAACAAGAGAAUCUCAGCCAAGAAUGCACUUCUUCAUCGCUUUUUCCGUGACGUCACCAUGCCAGUGCCCCAUUUACGCCUGUGAGGUACCAUCCGUGAGUGUUUCCACACCUCAGGACUGAGUGUUGGGUCCACCUUUUUCUGAGAAUUAUUCAGUUGCUCAGAAGUUGUUCUUCAGUUUUAUAAUCGAUGAGCUGUUGUACCUUUCCUCAAGUCAGUCUGGUUUGUUUUUAAUCUAUCCACUGUAAAAUUGCCAUGUUAUUGUAAUACUGUAGUGCUAGUAGUUAGUAAGCAUUUAAUUAACCUUGACAUUGUUUUCCCAGAAUUAUCUGGAGGGAUGUAGAUGUGCAUAUAGAAGAUUGCAUUUCUCAAGUCAUUCUUGUUUGGAGAACACAUCCCUUGGUUAGACUGAGUUAAAUUUGUUUAAAUUGUCUUGGUCAAAUCCCAUGAUUCAUAAAAUAUGGAAUUCUCUGUUUACCAGCCUUAUGUAUGUAACAUUAUUUUUGACUGCCAAUCUCUUUCCUUUGCCAAGUACUAAUGAAUGUUUUUAAACCUAAGGUGUUUUGACAGUUUUUACAAAUUCGAAGAUCCUUACUGUGAACUACUUUUUUUUUUUUUUUUUUCAUAAAAUAAUUCUUUCUACAACUUCAGUUGAAUUCAAGUCGUGUAUCAUGUUUGGGAACUAUUGCUUCCUCAUUCUGUUCUUUGAACCAACUUCUAGGGAAAACAGCUAUACACAUUUGAGAGACCAGUAUGAACAAUGAAGACCAGUUGAGUUUCAAUCAGUUGAAAGCAAGUUGAAGCUGCCUGUUCAGCUUUCACACAGAGCCCCUCACACUCCAAGAGCAGUGUAUCAUUUCCCCACACACUAUAUAUACACAGUCUAGACAUAUAUCAAAUAAAAAUUUAAAGUGCCCUACAAAUCUGCACCCAAAUAUUCACAACACGCACUGGCCUUCCCUUUAUACUGUUCAACCUACCCCCCAUUUUUGAGCUCAGGCCUGAAUUGGACAUAAUAUUAAUGGCUGUAGUUAAUCACUUCUUUGUAUUGCAGUCAUAAUUGUAGUCUGUUUUGACCGAAUCCACUUGUUUGUUAACCAGAUGUCAGAAUUUAUUAAAAUCAUAAAGAAUAAUUGUUAUAAAAGCUCAAAUUUAUAGGAAAGUGAUAUGCAAAUUAUUUUCAUAAUAUAUUUUAUGACAUUAUAUAUGACACUGGCCUUAAAAGGGCUUAGAGACACAAUGGAGCUAAAGCCACAAGUCUGAUAACUUUAAAACAUUUUUUUUUUUUUUCUUUUUUUACAAAAGGAAUCAAAUUUACUUUGUUCAUGUGUUGAACAUAUUGAUGUGCCUCUAAUUAUUAUUCUUUUGUCUAUAUUCUGCCUAUUGACUAAUCCAAAUCUGUCUGCCAUAGUAACACCUAUAUUGACACACAACACACAUCGUUGCUGUAGCAUACUUUAAAAAAAGUAUAAAACUUUUUUGUGAUAUUCCAUGGAUUCUUUUAACACAUCCAUCAUAAAAUACAAAUAUAGCUGCUUGUGGCAGUUAUCGGGGGCCAAGAACAUAUGGAAAAAUCACAAAUUAUCAGAUCUAAAAGAUCCUGUGGAACCCUAAUGCUAACUCCAACCCUAACCUUUACCCUAACUGCCUUAAUCACAGUAGCACAAAUGGGAAGUUAUAGAGACCUUUAGCAUCACAGAACGGUCUCUUGUCCAUGUGUUUUACGUUUGAAUAUUGCGCUUGCACGAUACAGGCCAAUUAGUCAUUAUAGGCCACACCCAAAACAUAUUGGCUUAUUCUUCUGAAUGACUUAACAAAUAAAAAUUAUAUUUAUAACUUUUUGUCUGGAGGGUCUGCAGAUGCUGUAUAACAAAUUUUGUGUGAAUUGGGGAAACGGCAUUUUUUCAAAAAAAUCGAAGUGGUAGAAAAGUGUUCUUAUGGAAAUGGAAAUCCAUGUGACCAGAUGAUUUGGGGGCACAGAAGGAUUUGGAGAAACUACGUAUUCAAAUUUUUUGCAAAUUGGACAAAUGGCCUAGGAGGAGUUCGAAAAAGUAGGUUUUUCAAAAAAAACUCAAUGAUGGAAAGCAACGCCAUCUUUGAUUUUUAAUGGGAAUGACAAUGAAAAUGUGAGGGAUAGAUGUACAGUCUCUUCAAUGGAAUGUACUGCAGUUUAAAGUGUUUUUGUAUCGUUCCGUGUGCAAAACAUUGAAAAAAUAUAUUUUCAAGGACACUCAGUAGACAAACUCCAGACAACAUGAGUUGUGGAAAAUCAGAUGAGAUCUAGGAGCUUUUUACAGCUUUAUACUGUGCAUGCCAUUGAAGAGAUGGUAAGUCUAUCCCUCACAGCCUUAUUUCCCAUCCCAUUUAAAAUUAAACAUGUGAAAGUGCUACUGUGAAUAAGGUCUAAUCAUAGACCAAUCCUCUUGUUUACAAAAUUGUCAGCACAUGCGCAGUAAGUGCUGGCAGAAAGCCUGCUGACUGUUGUGUUAGAUUUGACAGAUUAGAUGAUUAAAAAAAAGUAUGACACAAAACCAUCAUAAAUACAAACAUUCUUAGCGAUACAAUUACUAUUAAUGAAAUAAGUUAAUAAACAUGUAAUCAUGUUCGCUAUACAUUUUUGCUGCAAAGUUGUGAGUUGAAAUGAUCUUCUGUCCAGUCAGCUCUUGAUGGUUUGAAGCCACAACAGUCAACGAGAGCCCUCUGAAUAAUAUUUCAACAAUCCAAUAAAAGUUUACUUUUUGCUUAUGGUUUUUGCCACCACUUCCGUGUUUGACAUGAGAGGUGACGUUGCCAAAGCAUUGGUCUAUUGUGUCACGUCUUGCUGGAAAGCAAGUGACUAAAGAGAAGGGUCACAAUAAAGGCUACAUACUUCAGGCUAUAUGCAUUCAUAAUGAAUUCAUAUAAAAUUAUAAUGUUCUAUUAACUUAUUUAAAAAAAAACCACACACAUAAAUGCACAAAAAAACAUGUCCAGAGACAUCCAGGUAGCCUCAUAACAGACAAUUCACAAUUAUUUGUUAGACAAUUAAUUGUCAUCCAAAUUUUAAAAAACGUGACAGUCCUAAUAAUAAGAAAUAUAGCUACAAGCAGUAAUAACGGGCCAAACACACCAACUGGACAUCAGUGAUUAUGACUUUUUUUUAUUUUUAAUUAAAAAAUAAAAAUAAAAAUUAUCCUGUUUUCUCCCAAUUUGGAAUGCCCAAUUCCCACUACUUAGUAGGUCCUCGUGGUGGCGCGGAUACUCACCUCAAUUCUGGUGGUGGAGGACAAGACUCAGUUGCCUUCGCUUCUGAUACAGUCAAUCCACGCAUCUUAUUAUGUGGCUCGUCGUACAUGACACCGCGGAGGCUCCGCAUGUGGAGGCUCAUGCUACUCUCCACGAUCAACGCACAACUUACCACAUGCCCCAUUGAGAGCGAGCACCACAAAUCAUGACCACGAGGAGGUUACCCCAUGUGAAUCUACCCUCCCUAGCAACCGGGCCAAUUUGGUUGCUUUAGGAGACCUGGCUGGAGUCACUCAGCAUGCCCAGUGAUUAUGACUUUAUGAAAAGCAGCAUAAAAACAGGUAGAAAUGCUAAAUCUUAAAUACAAUUAAUUAUAACUUUGACCAGUAGGUGGUGCUGUCACCAAAUGUAUAUGGUGAGUUCAGGGUGUGGUCAUUAUGACCCACAAAUUUUCAUUAAAAUACGGCAAAAUGUUGCAGAGAUACAGCCUCAGAUGCUUUUUUGGUGACUUGCCAUCAAUUUCGUUGGUGUGCUAUUCGAGAACCGUUUUGUACAUCAAAAAGCUUUUGAUAAUUUUUUGACGGGAGUGUCCCUAGAUGUUACACGACAAAUUUUGUGUUUCAAUUAAAUUCAAAAUGGCGAACAGGAAGUAUGCACGACCAUGGAAUAUUUGAUAUCACCGUACUCUGCAUGACCCAAGGAACCUAAAGAGACAGUGCCAUAAUUUUAGGGCAUACUAUUCAUAAGUUAUAGGCAAAAAUAGCAAUGUAUUUAUAUCUCCUGACCACUAGGUGGUACAGUGGGGAAAUGCUGCAGGUAGCCUCAGGUCAAUACACCAAAGUGUUGCGAUGUUAUAGUGUCAUGUCCAUUUUUGCGUGUUUGUGGUCGAAUUUGUUGAAGUAUUAUUCAUGAAUGGUGUGGUCAUAGGUUUUUCGGAUAAUUCAAAAUUGCGGAAAAUAUAGGCGGUUGCUAAGGUUUUCUGGGUGGUCGCUAGGGCAUUGCUAGGCGGUUGCUAAGGUGUUCUGGGUGGUCGCUAAGGUGUUGCUAGGGUGUUCCUUGUGGUCACUAUGGCGUUGCGAGGUGGUUGCUAGGGUAUUCUGUGUGGUCACUCUGGCGUUGCUAGGCGGAUGCUAGGGUGUUCUGAGUGGUCAUUAGAGCGUUGUUAGGUGGUUGAUAGGUUGUUCAGACACGCUAGCUUUCACUCCCCACACGCAUCAAUGAGCCAUGGGCGCCCAUGACCCUGGUGCCGGUUCACCGGUUGACCUUCCUUGGGCCACAUUUGGUAGGUACUAACCACUGCAUACCGGGAACACCCCACAAGACCUGCCCUUUUGGAGAUGCUCUGACCCAGUCGUCUAGCCAUUACAAUUUGGCCCUUGUCAGAGUCACUGAGAUCCUUGUGUUUGCCCAUUUUUCCUGCUUCCAACACAUGAAAUUCAAGAACUGACUGUUCACUUGCUGCCUAAUAUGUCCCACCCCUUGACAGGUGCCAUUGUUACGAGAUAAAUGCUAUUCACUUCACCUGUCAGUGGUUUUAAUGUUGUGGCUGAUCAGUGUAUAUCAGUAGAGAAAAGGAGAGAGUUCUUAGGUACUUUGAUGGUUUUUAACUUGUUUACAAACUCUUAAGUAUCUUUGAUGUAGCUACAAAGUGUUUGAGACAAAGGGUUAAUAAACGUAUCUAUAAGUUCCGCUACUCUAUACGAUUCUGAACCACAACCACUUAUAAUCGGUCAUGCACAUGGAAUCAAAUAAGGAACCGUCCACGACUCCGGUGGCUUAUGUAUUUUGGGAAGAAGAUAAAAUUUACAUGACCUUGGCUGUUCAGCGCCAGAGAGGUACAGAAAUUGUUUAUAUGUAAUAUAUUUUUGUUUAUGUAAAUCAAACAUUAUUUCAUAAAUCAUUCUAGCAGUUUCUAAUUGUAUAGAAUUUGUAAGUGGUAAGUAAUGCUUGGUGUUAUUUAAUUGCCUGUUGGCCUCCUGUAAAUAUUGUGCCUUUUUAUUUUUUACUAUUAUAAUAUUACUAUUUUUGAUCGUUUAUCCACUGUUUUACAAUUAUUUCUCUAUUUACUCUUAAAUCAUGUAAUGCUUUAUACUGUUCUUUGGUUAAAUUUGAUCUGACUCUUUGAUUUACUUUAUAUUUCCUAAAAAAUGUAUCUCCCUGAAUCAAUUCUCGAAUCUCCGAAGGAGCAUGUCCCAAUUCUGGUUCCCACUGACUUUCUUCCGUAAACUGUAACAUUUCUGUAUUUAAAUCAAAAUAACCACAAAUUUUGUGUCUCCUAUGAUACAGAUGAAGAUCUCGCCUACAUGACAUGCAAUUAACCCCAUGUGGUGUGGGAACAAAUGUUAAUUAUUUUUUCCUUUUCUGAAAGUUUGAAAAAAGCAAUAAAUUCAGAAUAUUAUAUUGCUGUAAGAUAUUAGUUGGAGCUUCCAGUACAAAACAAUACAAAACAGCAACAAAAAUAUUUAAAAAUUGAAUAAAAAAAAUAAAUAUUGAAAAGAAAAUAAAGUAUAUGAAGAAUACACAAUAGACUAUAUAUAUAUAUAUAUAUAUAUAUAAUAUAUAUAUAUAAAAAUAAUAUAUAUAGCUGUGCUCAAAUGUUUGCAUACCCUGGCAGAAAUUGUGAAAUUUUGGCAUUGAUUUUGAAAAUAUGACUGAUCAUGCUAAGCCUGUAGAUCACUGGUCUUUUAUUUAAGGAUAGUGAUCAUAUGAAGCCAUUUAUUAUCACAUAGUUGUUUGGCUCCUUUUUAAAUCAUAAUGAUAACAGAAAUCACCCAAAUGGCCCUGAUCAAAAGUUUACAUAUCCUUGAAUGUUUGGCCUUGUUACAGACACACAAGGUGACACACACACAGGUUUAAAUGGCAAUUAAAGGUUAAUUUCCCACACCUGUGGCUUUUUAAAUUGCAAUUAGUGUCUGUGUAUAAAUAGUCAAUGAGUUUGUUAGCUCUCACGUGGAUGCACUGAGCAGGCUAGAUACUGAGCCAUGGGGAGCAGAAAAGAACUGUCAAAGGACCUGUGUAACAAGGUAAUGGAACUUUAUAAAGAUGGAAAAGGAUAUAAAAAGAUAUCCAAAGCCUUGAAAAUGCCAGUAAGUUCUGUUCAAUCACUUAAGAAAUGGAAAAUUUCGGGAUCUCUUGAUGCCAAGGUCAGGUAGACCAAGAAAGAUUUCAGCCACAACUGCCAGAAGAAUUGUUUAGGAUACAAAGAAAAACCGACAGGUAACCUCAGGAGAAAUACAGGCUGCUCUGGAAAAAGAUGGUGUGGAUGUUUCAAGGAGCACAAUAUGAUGAUACUUGAACAAAAAUGAGCUGCAUGGUCGAGUUUCCAGAAAGAAACCUUUACUGCGCCACAAAAAAGCCCGGUUACAAAAUGCCUGACAACACCUUGACACGCCUCAGCUUCUGGCACACUGUAAUUUGUAGUGACGAGACCAAAAUAGAGCUUUAUGGUCACAACCAUAAGUGCUAUGUUUGGAGAGGGGUCAACAAGGCCUAUAGUGAAAAGAAUACCAUCCCCACUGUGAAGCAUGGUGGUGGCUCACUGAUGUUUUGGGGGUGUGUGAGCUCUAAAGGCACAGGGAGUCUUGUGAAAAUUGAUGACAAGAUGAAUGCAGCAUGUUAUCAGAAAAUACUGGCAGACAAUUUGCAUUCUCCUGCACGGAAGCUGUGCAUGGGACGCUCUUGGACUUUCCAGCAUGAUAAUGACCCUAAGCACAAGGCCAAGUUGACCCUCCAGUGGUUACAGCAGAAAAAGGUGAAGGUUCUGGAGUGGACAUCACAGUCUCCUGACCUUAAUAUCAUCAAGCCACUCUGGGGAGAUCUCAAACAUGCGGUUUAUGCAAGACGACCAAAGACUUUGCAUUACCUGGAAGCAUUUUGCCAAGACAAAUGGGCAGCUAUGCCACAUGCAAGAAUUUGGAGCCUCAUAGACAACUAUUACAAAAGACUGCACGCUGUCGUUGAUGCUAUAGGGGGCAAUACACAGUAUUAAGAACUAAGGGUAUGCAGACUUUUGAACAGGGGUCAUUUAAUUUUUUUUCAUUGUUGCCAUGUUUCGUUUUAUGAUUGUGCCAAUCUGUUAUAACCUACAGUUGAAUACGAAUCCCAUAAGAAAUAAAAUAAAUGUGUUUUGCCUGCUCACUCAUGUUUUAUUUAAAAAUAGUACAUAUAUUACCAAUUCUCCAAGGGUUUGCAAACUUUUAAGCGCAACUGUACAUAUACAUACAUGCCACAAAAAAGCCUGGUUACAAUAUGCCCGACAACACCUUGACAUGCCUCACAGCUUCUGGCACAUUGUAAUUUGGAGUGAUGAGACAAAAAUAGAACUUUAUGGUCACAACCAUAAGCGCCAUUUUUGGAGAGGGGUCAACAAGUAGUAGUGGGCAAAAUGUAGUUCUUUGCAGGGUGAGUGGGGUCCAGAGUGAUUUUUCCAGCCUUUUUCCUCACUCUGGAAGUGUAUAGUUCUUGAAGGGAGGGCAGGGGGCAACCAAUAAUCCUCUCAGCAGUCCGAACUGUCCUUUGUAGUCUUCUGAUAUCCGAUUUCGUAGCUGAACCAAACCAGACAGAUAUUGAAGUGCAGAGGACACUCAAUGACUGCUGAGUAAAACUGUUUCAGCAGCGCCUGUGGCAGGUUGAACUUCCUCAACUGGCAAAGGAAGUACAACCUCUGCUGGGCCUUUUUCAAAAUGGAGUCAAUGUAGGUCUCCCACUUCAGGUCCUGUGAGAUGGUAGUGCCCAGGAACCUGAAUGACUCCACUGCUGCCACAGUGCUGUUUAGAAUGGUGAGGGGGUUCAGUGUUGGGGUGUUCCUCCUAAAGUCCACAAUCAACUCCACUGUUUUGAGCAUGUUUAGUUCAAGGUUGUUUUGACUGCACCAGACAGCCAGCUGUUUAACCUCCCUUUGUAUGCAGAUUCAUCGUCAUCUCGGAUGAGGCCGAUGACAGUGGUGUCGUCUGCAAACUUCAGGAGCUUGACAGAGGGGUCCUUGGCGAUGCAGUCAUUGGUGUAGAGGGAGAAGAGUAGUGGGGAGAGCACACAUCCCUGGGUGGCAGCAGUGCUGAUUGUACAGGUGCUAGAAGUGAGUUCCCCCUGUCUCACAAGCUGCUGCCUGUCCGUCAGAAAGCUGGUAAUCCACUGACAGAUAGACGUGGGAACAGAGUUGGUGUAAUUUAGUCCGGAGAAUAGCAGGGAUGGUGGUGUUGAAAGCCAAACUGAAGCCCACAAAAAGGAUCCUUGAAUAUGUCCCUGGUCUGUCCAGAUGUUGCAGGAUAUGAUACAAUCCCAUGUUGACUGUAUCAUCCACAGACCUGUUUGCUCGAUAAGCAAAUUAAAGGGGAUCUAGAAAGGGUCCAGUGAAUAUCCUUCAGGUGGGCCAACACCAGUCUUUCAAAUGACUUCAUGACCACAGAUGUCAUGGCGACAGGUCUUUAGUCAUUAAGUCCUGUGAUUUUUGGUUUCUUUGGGACAGGAAUGAUGAUUGAGCAUUUGAAGCAGCAGGGAACUUCACACUGCUCCAGUGAUCUAUUGAAGAUCUGUGUGAAGAUGGGGGCCAGCUGGUUAGCAGAGGAUUUAAGACAUGCAGGUGAGACGCUGUCUGGGCCUUGUGCUUUCCUUAUCUUUUGUUUUCAAAGACACGGCACACAUCAUCUUCACAGAUCUUAAGUGCAGGUUGAGUAGCAGGAGGGGGGCUGCAGGAGGUGUUGAUGUUUGUGUGAAGUGAAGGUCAGAGCGGGUGUGGGGUGUAAAAUUGGGCCUUUCAAAUCUACAGUAGAACACAUUCAGGUCAUCAGCCAGUUGUUGGUCCACCACAAGGUUGGGGGUAAAGAGUCCUGUAAUUCGUAAGUUGUUUCAUGCCACUCCACACUGAUGCAGGGUUGUUAGCUGAAAACUUGUUUUUCAGCUUCUCAGAGUAUCUUCUUUUAACCACUCUGAUUCCCUUAUUCAGUGUGUUCCUGGCCUGACUGUACAAGACUUUAUCCCCAACUCUGUAAGCAUCCUAUUUGGCCUGACGAAGCUGCCGGAGUUCUGCUAUAAACCAUGGUUUGUCGUUGUUAAAUGUUAAAUAAGUCCUAGUAGGGAUGCACAUAUCCUCACAGAAACUGAUAUAUGAUGUAACCGUAUCUGUGAGCUCAUCCAGACUGGUGUCUGCAGCCUCAAAAACACUCCAAUCAGUGCAGUCAAAGCAGGCUUAUAGUUCCAGCUCUGCUUCAUUGGUCCAUCUCUUUACAGACCUUACUACAGGCUAAGCAGAUUUAGUUUCUGUCUGUAGGUUGGAAGAAAAUGAACCAGACAGUGAUCGGAGUCCCAAAACGGCUCUAGGGACAGAGCGAUAUGCAUCCUUUAUUGUUGUGUAGCAGUGAUCCAAUAUAUUUGUCUCUUGUUGGGCUUGUAAUGUGCUGUCUGUAUUUGGGCAGUUCACGUGUGAGGUUUGCUUUUUUAAAAUCCCCAAGAAUAACAAUAACUGAGUCUGGGUAUUGUUGCUCCGUGUCUGUGAUCUGAUCAGCCAGCUGUUGCAGCGCAGCAUUCAAACACUCGUUUGGCACGAUGUAAACACUCACCAGAAUAAACGAGGAAAACUCCCGCGGCGAGUAGAAAGGCUUACAGUUAAUAAAGAGCUCUUCCAAAUUAGGACAGCACAUCUUCUUUAACGUUGUUACAUCUGUACACCAACUUUCAUUGACGUAAAAGCAUGUUCCACUGCCUCUCGUUUUCCCUGUUCAGAAAUGUGCUUAAAAAAUGCUAAACAUUUUGGAUGGAAACCCAGCAAUUGUAAUAAAAAAAGCAAGUCUAUACAAAUGAGUUUUUAAACGAGACUUAAAAACAGUCAGCGAUUCAGCAGAUUUAAACCCACGGCAGGCUGUUUCAUCAUCGUGGGGCCUUCUACAAAUGCUCUAUCACCUUUAGUUUGUGUUGGUCUGGAGCCAACAGUUCAGCCCCAUUUCCACCUGGUAUUAAGAUACAUUUUUGGUUAUCGGAUGAAUCACAUGUGGUCAGCGCUAAAUACAGGUCUAAACAGGGUCUAAAAAUAUUUGUAAUCGGACCUCAUCACAUGUGUAUGUGGUCAAAAACACAGCAGCAACGAAGCACCACCCCUCACCUGUCAAUCAACCGCUGCGCUAAAACAAGAGUUUAAACUUUGCUGGUUAUGUGUGGCUUUAAAAGGGAGAAAAAAAAAAUAAUUACACAAGCAUGAGAACUUUGCGGAUCUUCAUUGUAUUUGAUAUCAACAUACAGCAACACUUAUGAGAAGCACAAACAUCUGUAGCUCAGAUUAAUACAGGUAAUCCACUAAAAUAAUGGACAGUUCUGCUCAAUG